rnacentral:lncRNA from 1 species
GAAGCAUCUUGCAGACAUUGAGAUAAACCAUGUAUGAACAAAUUUGUUUCCCUCAUGAGGCAACAAGAAAAUAAAGUAGCUAAUAAGUUAAAUCAGGAGUGCUGCUAUGAGAGGUAUGGACCACUAAUGGAGACAGAAUAUGCUAAAUGGGUAGUUUUCAGGUUUCAUAUACAAGUAUAUUGAAAGGUUGUGGAGAAUAAAGCCUUAGUAACACCAGAUUUCUAGAAAUGUCAUGAUUAACUCUUAUGAAUAAGGCCAUUCUAUGCAAGUAUUUUGUUUUAUAUUGUUAUCAAAACUGUGCUGGAGCUACACUCCUCCAAACAUACAUGCUACCUUUGUCUAUUACUGUGUGGUGCAUACCAUCAUUAAUUUUCAUGAAUAAGGGACUGAUCAUAAGCUCACAUAUUUUAUGAGUUUAUUAAUAUUUCAGAGAGAAAUCACUUCAACAAAUGUCUGGGGUCUUCCACUGCCUUCUCUGUUUUAUUCCCCCAAUAUCUUCUCCUAUAUGCUCCAGGGAAAUGAUUCUGACAGUUUCAUUUUUUAUAUCUCACAAAAUAUUUCUGUUGAGGUCUUGAAGGUUGAAUAUGGCAUUUCAAAUAAAAACUUUAGUAUAUAGAAAAGUUGAAAGUGUAGUACAAUGAACAGCCAUGUAACCUUGUCAGUAUUUUUCUAUGCAUGUAUAUGUUUAUAUGUAUACAUGUAUGAUCUGUCUAUGCACCUUUUUCAACUUAUCAUCUACCUAAUAUCUAUCAUCUGCCAACUAUCCAUUUAUAUAUAAUGCAUUGAUCUGCCUAUCAAUCAUCUUAUACUUAUGCACUUAUCUGUCCAUCUAUCAUCUAUCAAUUUGUCCUAUCAGUUAUCUAUCAAUUAUCCAUCUAUUGAUCACCUAUCCACUAUACAUCCAUCACAUAGUUAUCCAUAUUAUUUUGUCAAAUCAUUUAAAAGUAAAUUGUAGAUAUCAUGAUACUUCACCCUUAAUACUUCAGCACAUGUAUCUAAAAAUAUGUUACCUUGUAAAAUCCAAAGUACUCACAAUAUAGCAGGUCGUCAUUAUUUAAGAAAUAUCAUAUUGUUCAUUUUUAACUUUUUAAUUGCUCUCUAAAUUUUCAGUUGUCCCAUAAUUUGUUAGACUGCUUUUAAGAUUUUCUAUUUACUAUUGGUUUACAG